AAAAAGCUAUUUCUAGUCUCACUAGGAGAAGCGGGCAUAGGCCGGAGAUAAGCCCAAGCCGCUUCUUUGACGAGCCUAUUCUUUAGAGAGAUCUCGCCCCACCCACUGUUUCACACCCCGUUGGUGACUGGAUCGCAUUUGGUGAGCUCGGUAGAAGAUCGCGAAGGCUUGCGUAUGAUAGCGGCUUGAGGGUUGUGCACGAUAAGUCAUCAAGGGUUGUGUAUGGUGAGAUUUUGAGGUUUGCAAGUUCUUUGGCUUCACAGGUGGCCAUGGAAACGCUCGAGCUUUGAGGUAGCCGGAGCUCGAUGGACACAGUGGCCGGAACCAUGUUUCUCUGGCGAAGUGACGGGGGAUCCAUUUUCACGGCCACCAUUUUGGCCGGAAUCUUGACCGGAAUGUGUAGGGAAUAUUGAUGGCAGGAAAAUCGGCCAGAGAUUGCAAGAAGAAAGAGAAAAUGCAGAUAACACUAAUUGUGGUUUUAUUGCUUUAACUUUAGAUGGAAAUUGCAAGGAGAACCCACAAAUUUUCGGUUUAGGGUUUCACAGACUGAAUUCAGCUUCAAUUUAUAAGAAUAACGGAAAAAAUGACUGUAAUGGCCGAAAUUUUGAUCGGGAUUUGCAAAGAGUAAGGGGAAAUCCAAGGGUCAGGGGUUUUUAGCCUGGAGAGAGGUUUUUGAUGAAGAUUGCGGCCAAAACACAAAGUUUCCGGUGGAGGUUCCAAGCCCAGUAGUAGAUAUCUAGUGAAGACCCAGCCAAUAUUUUGGAAACGAUUUCCGUGAAAUCAGAGUCUUUCGUCGGAAUUUGAUCGUCUUUUAGGGCUCAAAGUUUGUUUGGUCCGCUUGUUUGCCGUGAAAAGUUUUUGGGGUGUCAUUAUAGUUUUUAUUUGGGUAAAAAAUUUACGGUUCCAUAGAUCCAACAAGUUUGUAAGAUGGAAAAGAUGGAGACCCUUUACCUACAAUUAAUAUUUUCAAUUUUUGGUUAUCAAACAUUACAUAAAUAAAAAAUAAGAGAUAAAAAAAUAUUUUUCAAAAAAAUAAAAAAUAAAGACAUCCUACCAUACGCCCCAAGUGCAAAUGGUAUUUGCCAUCGACGCAAUUGAGUUCUUUUCACAGGGUACGAGGAAGAAUGCUAGGUUGGACCUUGUACACAACUGCGGUUCACACUGGGGACAAAACUAUGAGAUGAGAUGCGAUGCGAUGCGAUGCGAAGCGAUGCGAUGCGAUGCGAUGGAUUCUCAAGAGGUACAUUGGAGAAACUGAAGUCUUUCUUUUCUUUUAUUUUCCCCGAGACAUAUAGGGAUCACCCGCAUUUAGCCAGUGUUUUAAAAACCGCCCACUUCCUACUUGAAUUGUCCAUCUGGAUUGGAAUCGUUCAUGAUUGAAUCAGUUUUGGCCUUUUGGGUGAUAUAAGGCCCCGCCCUGCCCUGUUGCCCCCUAAAAACAAUUUGUAUAUUUUAAGUUCAUUUAAUAUUUUUGUAGUUCCCGUCUAUAAACCCUUAUUUUAAUUUUUUUUUGUCUCAUUUAUUUAGCAACAUAUUUCUAGAUCACGAAUUUGUUCUGAUCCAGUAAUCCGAUACAAAUUUGUGUGUAAAUUAUUUACGAUUUGAUAUAGAUUUGUAUGUAAAUUAUCUGCCAUACCAAUCCAGGUUUUGAAGUAUUGUAUUUCUUAGAUGGGUGCAGCUGGCAUACGGAUGCUUUCGUGCCUGUAGAGGUAAGGUGCACCUUUAAAUUUUAUAAUGGUAUCUAAUUUUGAUGUAAAAUGUUAUUAGGACUAUCUCAAAAUCUAUUUUUAUAUCUAAUUAUAAAAUUUUAAAUUUCAAAUAUUGUUAAAAUCAAGUAGAUCUAAAAAUAUAUGAAAAUCUUGAAAAUAGACGGUGUAGAUAAUAUGUUGUAAAAUGCACUAUUUAUGAGACUUAAAACUUUUUAUUUUUCAUGGUCAUACAUCUCGAUGUCGAGAUGAUCAAUCAAAGGGUGGUUUUUUAACAUUAAAACUACCUUUUCUGAUGGAUUUUUGAUCCGUAGUUGUACAUUAUAAGGGUGCAUCCUUGUAUAAAUUUUCUCCUUUUUAGAUUGGACGAAGCACUUGAUGGGUUUGGUUUUUUUUUUUUUUGGAAAUUUAUCAAAAGCAACGAAGAGAUGAACCAUUAUUUUUUCCUUAAUUUCAAAAAUCUUAGCGCAUGAUAUUAAUCAUGGAUUACAAUAGCUUAUAUUUUAGAUAUGUUUUGACAAAUACGUAAAAGGUUAAAUAUUUGGGAUUUUACCCAUUUUUUAUUAAUUUUUUCUUUUCUUUCACUUGCCUAUAAAUACACAACCCAUUUUUUGCUCUUCAAAUAAUGCUUGUUUAGAAAACGCAACAAAAUAAUGCUUAGUUGGUCAUAGUCAGAGGAAGAAUAAUACGUGUAGAAGAAAAAAAAUUGCUGCUUAAUUGCAUAAGUAAUUGUUUUUAAUGCAUUAAGCAACCAUUAUAUAAAUGUUUAAUGCUUUUGAUCUCUGGUUUUUUAAAUUGAUGGUUAACUAAUUACAGGAUACCAAUUUACAAAUUUUAAACAUGACAAAUUUUGUAUAGAAUAUUUACAUUUCAAAUAUUUCAUUUUCUCUUUUUCAUUUUCUUACUCGUACAGCCGGCUCUUCUGGGUGCUUGAACAGUUCCCAACUCUUAUGGUGCGGAUACUGUUAUUGUCAUUGAACGAACCAACUAAAUGGUUCCAACACGUUACAUAAGGAAGACCAAAAUUUCGUCUUCUUCAGUUGUGCCAAGAUUUUCUUAUAUGAUUGCAGUUGUGUAGGGCUGAUUAUGGGUGAGGCGGCCUGGCUCAGCCCGAUCAAACCGCCCCUGAAAGAGUAGGGCCUAGGCCACAAACUUUGGGCCGACGGUCGAGCAAGGGACAAUGUUAGCAUGGCCUUGCUCGGCCCGCGCGACUUUUUUUUUUUCCCCCCUUUAAUUUUCGUUUUUUUUCCUGACCCAGAACUAACAAGGCCAAGGCCAGGGUUGUGCCAACUCUAUGGGUACCUUGAGAACCUAGAAAUGGAAAUUAGACAAGGUCCAUUUCCAUUUUGUUAUACACUUAUACCCAUUUUUUUAAAGUGAAAGUAUACAAUGAGAUCAUUUAUUUCCAGUACAAUGUCGCAAUCAAUCCUUGUUGUUGGAUGUAAAACAAGUGGCCAAGGAUGUGCCAUUGAUCGGAUUCAAAAUCCAAAACAAAUUUAACAUAUCUAGAGCUCUGCAAGACUUCACAUCUGCAGGCUAUUGGUGGCUGUGACCUCCUUGCACCAUUGAAAAAGGGUAUUAUGGCAUAUAAACCCACUUAUAA
rnacentral:lncRNA from 1 species